GAUGAAGAACGUAGCGAAAUGUGAUAAGUAAUGUGAAUUGCAGAAUUCCGUGAAUCAUCGAAUCUUUGAACGCACAUUGCGCCCCCUGGCAUUCCGGGGGGCAUGCCUGUCCGAGCGUCAUUUCUGCCCUCAAGCACGGCUUGUGUGUUGGGUGUGGUCCCCCCGGGGACCUGCCCGAAAGGCAGCGGCGACGUCCGUCUGGUCCUCGAGCGUAUGGGGCUUUGUCACUCGCUCGGGAAGGACCUGCGGGGGUUGGUCACCACCAUAUUUUACCACGGUUGACCUCGGAUCAGGUGGGAGUUACCCGCUGAACUUAAGCAUAUCAAUAAGCGGAGGA
rnacentral:misc_RNA from 1 species